rnacentral:rRNA from 1 species
ACGAGAAAGUCCGCAAGGAUGAGUAAAGUGGCGUACGGGUGAGUAACACGUGGAUAACCUGCCCUUUAGUGGGGAAUACCGCUGGGAAACCGGCGACAAUACCGCAUAAGCUCGAGAGAGGAAAGCAGCAAUGCGCUGAAGGAGGGGUCCGCGGCCGAUUAGCUAGUUGGCAGGGUAAAAGCCUACCAAGGCUGUGAUCGGUAGCCGGCCUGAGAGGGAACACGGCCACACUGGCACUGAAACACGGGCCAGACUCCUACGGGAGGCAGCAGUGGGGAAUCUUGCACAAUGGGGGAAACCCUGAUGCAGCGACGCCGCGUGAGCGAUGAAGCCCUUCGGGGUGUAAAGCUCUUUCGGCAGGGACGAUUAUGACGGUACCUGCAGAAGCAGCUGCGGCUAACUACGUGCCAGCAGCCGCGGUAAUACGUAGGCAGCAAGCGUUGUUCGGAGUUACUGGGCGUAAAGGGUGCGUAGGCGGCUUCUUAAGUCUGGUGUGAAAUCUCCCGGCUCAACUGGGAGGGUGCGCCGGAUACUGAGGGGCUAGAGUGUGGGAGAGGAAAGUGGAAUUCCUGGUGUAGCGGUGAAAUGCGUAGAUAUCAGGAGGAACACCGGUGGUGUAAACGGCUUUCUGGACCAUUACUGACGCUGAUGCACGAAAGCGUGGGUAGCAAACAGGAUUAGAUACCCUGGUAGUCCACGCCCUAAACGAUGCAUAUUUGGUGUGGGCCAUUCAUUUGGUCCGUGCCGGAGCUAACGCGUUAAAUAUGCCGCCUGGGGAGUACAGUCGCAAGGCUGAAACUCAAAGGAAUUGACGGGGGCCCGCACAAGCGGUGGAGCAUGUGGUUUAAUU